GGUUUCGUAGUGUAGCGGUUAGCACUCAGGAUUCUGAUGGAUGUUCCUGCAACCCCGGUUCGAUUCCGGGCGAGACCU
rfam:Schizopora paradoxa strain KTC8140 unplaced genomic scaffold SCHPAscaffold_00001, whole genome shotgun sequence.